rnacentral:rRNA from 1 species
UACGGGGGGGGGGCAAGCGUUUGUUCGGAAUUACUGGGCGUAAAGGGUUCGUAGGUGGCCAACUUAGUCAGACGUGAAAUCCCUCAGCUUAACUGGGGAACUGCGUCUGAUACUGGAUGGCUCGAGUGCAGGAGAGGAACGCGGAAUUCCAGGUGUAGCGGUGAAAUGCGUAGAUAUCAGGAGGAACACCGAUGGCGAAGGCAGGUCUCUGGGCCACUACUGACGCUGAGAAGCGAAAGCAUGGGGAGCGAACAGG